GAUGAACGCUAGCUACAGGCUUAACACAUGCAAGUCGAGGGGUAACGAGAGGAAAGCUUGCUUUCCUUGUCGACGACCGGCGCACGGGUGAGUAACGCGUAUCCAACCUGCCCCCAACUAGGGAAUAACCUUGCGAAAGUAAGACUAAUACCCUAUAAUUUCCUCAGAUGUCAUCUGACGAGGAAUAAAGAUUUAUCGGUUGUGGAUGGGGAUGCGUCUGAUUAGCUUGUUGGCGGGGUAACGGCCCACCAAGGCAACGAUCAGUAGGGGCUCUGAGAGGGAGGUCCCCCACAUUGGAACUGAGACACGGUCCAAACUCCUACGGGAGGCAGCAGUGAGGAAUAUUGGUCAAUGGGCGGAAGCCUGAACCAGCCAAGUAGCGUGCAGGAUGACGGCCCUAUGGGUUGUAAACUGCUUUUAUACAGGAAUAAAGUUAGCCACGUGUGGUUAUUUGUAGGUACUGUAUGAAUAAGGACCGGCUAAUUCCGUGCCAGCAGCCGCAGUAA
rnacentral:rRNA from 1 species